rnacentral:rRNA from 1 species
AUGCACGCUGGCGGCGUGCCUAAUCCAUGCAAGUCGAGCGAACAGACGAGGAGCUUGCUCCUCUGACGUUAGCGGCGGACGGGUGAGUAACACGUGGAUAACCUACCUAUAAGACUGGGAUAACUUCGGGAAACCGGAGCUAAUACCGGAUAAUAUAUUUAACCGCAUGGUUCAAUAGUGAAAGACGGUUUUGCUGUCACUUAUAGAUGGAUCCGCGCCGCAUUAGCUAGUUGGUAAGGUAACGGCUUACCAAGGCAACGAUGCGUAGCCGACCUGAGAGGGUGAUCGGCCACACUGGAACUGAGACACGGUCCAGACUCCUACGGGAGGCAGCAGUAGGGAAUCUUCCGCAAUGGGCGAAAGCCUGACGGAGCAACGCCGCGUGAGUGAUGAAGGUCUUCGGAUCGUAAAACUCUGUUAUUAGGGAAGAACAAAUGUGUAAGUAACUAUGCACGUCUUGACGGUACCUAAUCAGAAAGCCACGGCUAACUACGUG